UCGCUCCCGGCCGCCCGGCAGCGCAGCGCCCUGAGGGGCGGGCCGGCAGGCACCAGCUUUGAAGCGCGGAACCCGCCCAGGCGGAGGUCCGGACCCAGGGGUACCUGAUAGGAGCCGCCGGUCAGGGCCAGCUCCGCCAGGACCGCUCUGCCAUUAGCGAUACAGCUAGAGAAGAUGAAGCAGAAUUGACGUGAACAAGACUUCUGUGAGAACGGACAUCUAUUAGAUAUAGGAUGCUUAGUGGACUCAAGAAAAGACUCACUGAAGACCACUGAGAAUAUCCCAGAAGCCAAAGGGAGAGUCCAUCUUUCUUGAACCAGCCCAAAAUGCCGGAUUCUCAUUUUCUCCAUGUAUUUGCAGAUAAUAGUAUUCAUGUGACUCAGUUCUGGUCAAUGAGACAUAAGAGAAGUCUGCUGGGAUGGGAAAGGUUUUUCUCCAUUUUAGAGAGAUCUGUAUGAGAAGGCUAUUUUUUCUCUCUUUCAAUGAGAGAGUUAUGUGUUACGAGUUCAGUGUUAUGCACUGUGGAGCGGGGACAUGAUAGUUGGCAUUGUUGUAGCCAUCACACCACCAUGAGGCAACCAGAGAUUGAAAAUCCAGUGUGUAGAGGAUGUCAGAGCAAAAGGAUGAAAAGAACCUGGGACCUGGAUGACAUCACUGAGAGGCUGGACCAAUUCUUGAAACUAGUGCCUUCAGACUUGCUAUUUGAAAGAUUAUAUGUCUUUAUUGUUUAA